GCGCGAAAACUUUACAAUGCUGGCAACAGCGAUAAGGGAACCUCGAGUGCCAGGUUACAAAUCCGGCUGUCGAGAUGCCUAAAAAGCAUUUCAUAGCAAGGGCCGGGCAAGACCGGUGCCAGCCGCCGCGGUAACACCGGCGGCUCGAGUGGUAACCGUUAUUAUUGGGUCUAAAGGGUCUGUAGCCGGCCGGAUAAGUCUCUUGAGAAAUCUGGCAGCUUAACUGUCAGGCUUUCAGGAGAUACUGUCUGGCUCGAGGCCGGGAGAGGUGAGAGGUACUUCAGGGGUAGGGGUGAAAUCUUGUAAUCCUUGAAGGACCACCAGUGGCGAAGGCGUCUCACCAGAACGGACUGACGGCAAGGGACGAAAGCUAGGGGCACGAACC
rnacentral:rRNA from 1 species